UGCUCAUUACCAAGAAAGUUUUUUAUGCUGACAGUUAUUAUGAGUAAUUACCAAUAGUGUCCAAUGCCUUUAAUGAACAAUGCACAAAGCGAAAACUGAACUUGAUUUCACAAAGCGCUACGAUUCAUCUUAAGAGUUGCCAGUAUUCUUAAUGUGAUUUGUAUUGUGACAUCACACUUUGCUUAGCAAUUAAGAUUGAUUCCCCACUUAAGAUCAAUCUUAGCUCGUUGUGAAAUCGGAACACAUUAUGCCAUUCACUCUUGGUGAAAACACAAUAUCCCUUGCUAAAUAGUUGUUCUCAUCAUUUAUAGAAAAUAUUUUUUAAAGUAAACAUUAAACUUUAAUAUCUCGUAUUAGUCUCAUAAUAGUUAUUAAAAACAAAACUUAUUUAAUACAAUUUUAUAAACAAAAAAAUACAGGGAUGUACACUAUCGGCAAACUCUCAUCUUCAAGUUUAUGCUCCGCCAAAAGUUCACCUUUUUCUUUCUACUGUCAAAAGUUCAACUUUUUCUUUCCACUGCCAAAAUUUCACCUUUUUCUUUCCACUGCCAAGAUUUCACCUUUUUCUUUCCACUGCUGCUACACAAGCAACUUUAAAGUAUCCGCUAUGAAACACAAGGGCUAACUAUCCUCUCAAAAUAAACAACAGAAAUAUUUUUUUUGAAAAGAAGACUUUUUAGUACAAUUCCUGCUGUUGGUUGCUAAGGAAAUGACCUUUGACUUUCAACCAAUAGCAUACAAACCCUUCACGAAUUAUUAGUAGAUCUCUGUAAAAUAAACAAUUGAAUAAACAUCAAACCAAAAAUAAAAUAUACAUAAUUUAUACGGGAAUAUUGAAAUACUUUCGGGGGCUAUAUACACAAUUAGAAAGACCUAAAUUUUGUUAAUUGUAUAAAAACACCAUAACUUUGUAAAUGUCUGACAAAGAAAAACAAUACCUACUUGUACAUCUAUAAUUGCUAUGAAAAAAGAUUGGCACAAAUUAAGGACAAUCUAGAAAGAGUAUUUCUAGUUUCUACUCUCAGAAACUGUAAUGCCUUCUUUAUGUUUAUACACUCGUAACUCUAAUCAUACGUUCAAAAUCAGUGUUUUGGUGCAACAAAUUAAAUAUUGCUUUAUCCCAACUAUAGAAUUGGUCGAGCUAUUGGUUGGGUUCAGCCCAUAGUUGGGAUUGAUAAUGCUAUAUGCCGCACUAUACGUUUCUUGGUUCUGCCAAACUAGUUGGGAUCACCCAACUAUAGUUGGGUUCACCAAACUACAGUUGGGAUCACCCAACUAUAGUUGGGUUCACCAAACUACAGUUGGGAUCACCCAACUAUAGUUGGGUUCACCAAACUACAGUUGGGAUCACCCAACUAUAGUUGGGUUCACCAAACUACAGUUGGGUUCACCAAACUAUAGUUGGGUUCACCAAACUAUAGUUGGAUCACCCAACUUGUAGAUGUACAGGCCUGACUGUCGUGGGGCAAACCCGACUAUCGCUGGUCGACCCAUCUGUACUUUGUCAGGCCAACUAUAGUUGGUCCGGCCCAACUAUAGUUCUACUGAUUCUAUAGUGUGGGAGAAAUAACAUUAUGAUAUUCAAAUAGUAUAUUUGAUAUCUAUUUAAUAUUUCAAUAUCAACCACACAUUUGGUUUAUCUGAUAGAAGUUAUGGAUGCCAUAUCUUAUUUGAUAGAGGUAAAAGCUGAAUAUUUAAUCGAUACAUCAUCACAGUCCAAACGUGAUAUAUGAUACUAGUAUUAUAGUUCAGAUAUCCAGUAACUAUAACUUUAAUAUAUCUGAAAGGUGAAAUACCUUCAGAUAGAGGAAUAGCUGAUUAUACUUGAGUAGUUGAAUCAUUUAUAAAUUUAGAUUUCACCAACCAAUAUUAUGUAAUACACACCUCCUUUCUGGAUAGAAUAUUCUACUUAAAAACCAUUAACCAUAAUUACAAAACUUCUUGAAAAUGCCAGUCAGUGGUUUGAAAUUUGUUUCCGGCUGAAACUUCAUGAACUUCAUAAACUAUCCCAUUAGGAAAAAUGUCAAAAAAAAA